rnacentral:rRNA from 1 species
AGAAGCUCCCAAGGGUUUGGCUGUUCGCCAAUUAAAGAGGCACGCGAGCUGGGUUCAAACCGUCGUAAGACAGGUUGGUCUCCUAUCCGCUAUGGGCGUAGAAACUUGAGAAGGCCCUUCCUUAGUACGAGAGGACCGGGAAGGACGAAGCACUAGUGUGCCGGUUGUUCCACCAGGAGCAUUGCCGGGUAGCUACCUUCGGUUUGGAUAAGCGCUGAAAGCAUCUAAGCGCGAAGCCGUCUUCAAGAUUAGGUUUCAUAGACUCGUCAGAGACGAUGACGUUGAUAGGCCCUAGGUGUAAGUCCCGCAAGGGAUGUCACCCGCCCGGUA